CUUUAUUUUAAAAUGCAUCCACUGGGGAUUAAAAGGGGGGCCAUCAUACCAGUGAACUAGUGUUUUGAGUUUUGUGCGCUGGCACUUAACCGGAAGCCAAUUAAAUGAUGCCUAAAACCAUUAAAUGAUGCUUAACUUAUAUUAGAGGUAAAUUAGCUCUUAGACAUCUUGCUUGGAAAAACAAAUUGAGGUGCCCUUUGAGUCGGAUCAAAUUUUGGCAGUAUAGAUGCCUUAUGGGACCAUACAGAGCACACUGAAAGGCAAUUAGAAUUUUGUUAAUGCUUUUAUUGACGCUCUCUGAGCCUUUCUCUCGAGGGACCUAUAUCACAGAAGAUAGAAUUUAAUCCCACUUCAUUAUCUGUUAUAGUCUGAAAAUAGGGAUCACAUUUCCUGUACAG